UACCGUAAAAUCCGGUGUAUAAGACGCACUUUUAAUACCUAUUUUUUUGUCUUAAAAGUUGGCUGCGUCUUAUACACCGGUGCGACCAAUACACCAGUAUAAAAUACUGAAACACGUGCCGCCAUUACCGCAGGUGCAGCAGCCCCCAUCACUGUGACCUGAAGUGAUUAAAACCCCAUCCCCAUUCAUUGUGUAUUGAAAGCUGAGUGCACGCUGUGCUGGGAAAGACGGCGACACAGACCAGGCUGCAGACAUGCAGUCUUGGGCUGGCUGCGCGACUUCUUCCACAUCUUUUCUCCCUCACGAGGUCAUAAUCAUGCAUUUACAGAAAACAGUGGUACAUUGUUCCGUAAAUAAACCUUGUGGAGUGCUCUUUUGAUUGAAAGAGUCCUAUAUUAAAGUUAAAGAGUGACCAGCGGAGUCGGGCAGCGUGACUUGCAAGCUAGCAGGUCUGUGCUUCACAAGUCACAACUUUCCCUGCAGCAGGCUGAGAGCUCAACUACCGUACUGUAGCUAGUAGGAGCGCAAACUCCCGAAAAAACUGCACGUUGUAGACAUCGCUGAACACAAUAUAAAUC